rnacentral:rRNA from 1 species
UACGGAGGGUGCGAGCGUUGUCCGGAAUCACUGGGCGUAAAGGGCGCGUAGGCGGCCUGAUAAGUAGGGGGUGAAAUCCUGUGGCUUAACCGCAGGGCUGCCUUCUAAACUGUCGGGCUAGAGCACAGUAGAGGCAGGUGGAAUUCCCGGUGUAGCGGUGGAAUGCGUAGAGAUCGGGAAGAACAUCAGUGGCGAAGGCGGUUGCCUGGAGCUUUGCUGACGCUGAUGCGCGAAAGCGUGGGGAGCGAUCCGG